UCUGGGAAACUGCCCUGAUGGAUGGGGAUAACUACUGGAAACCGUAGCUAAUACCGCAUAACGGCGCAAGACCAAAGAGGGGGACCUUCGGGCCUCUUGCCAUCGGAUGUGCCCAGAUGGGAUUAGCUAGUAGGGGGGGUAACGGCUCACCUAGGCGACGAUCCCUAGCUGGGCUGAGAGGAUGACCAGCCACACUGGAACUGAGACACGGUCCAGACUCCUACGGGAGGCAGCAGUGGGGAAUAUUGCACAAUGGGCGCAAGCCUGAUGCAUCCAUGCCGCGUGUAUGAAGAAGGCCUUCGGGUUGUAAAGUACUUUCAGCGGUCAGGAAGGCGAUAAGGUUAAUAACCUUGUCGAUUGACGUUACCCGCAGAAAAAGCACCGGGCUAACUCCGUGCCAGCAGCCGCGGUAAUACGGAGGGUGCAAGCCGUUAAUCGGAAUUACUGGGGCGUAAAGCGCACCAUGCGGUCUGUUCAAGUCGGUAUGUGAAAUCCCCGGGCUCAACCUGGAGAACUGCAUUCGAAACUGGCAGGCUGAGUCUGAUGAGGGGGGUAGAAUUCCAGG
rnacentral:rRNA from 1 species